rnacentral:rRNA from 1 species
GGGUGCAAUCAUAUCAGCGAUAAUGCAUAAGAUCCCAUCAGAACUACGCAGUUAAGCGCACUUCAGAUAGAUUUGUACUAGGAUGGGUGACCUUUCGGGAAGUCCUAGUGUUGCACCCU